GACGUAGGUGGCAAGCGUUGUCCGGAUUUAUUGGGUUUAAAGGGUGCGUAGGCGGCCUUGUAAGUCAGUGCUGAAAUAUCCCGGCUUAACCGGGAGGGUGGCAUUGAUACUGCAGGGCUUGAGUAAAGUUGAGGUUGGCGGAAUUGACGGUGUAGCGGUGAAAUGCUUAGAUAUCGUCAAGAACACCGAUAGUGAAGACAGCUAACUA
rnacentral:rRNA from 1 species